AGUGAACGCUGGCGGUAGGCCUAACACCUGCAAGUCUAACGAGUGGCGGACGGGUGAGGAAUACAUCGGCAUCUACUCUGUCGUGGGGGAUAACGUAGGGACACUUACGCUAAUACCGCAUACGAUUGAAUGAGCCGAUGUCGGAUUAGCUAGUUGGCGGGGUAAAGGCCCACCAAGGCGACGAUCCGUAGCUGGUCUGAGAGGAUGAUCAGCAACACUGGAACGGAGACACGGUACAGACUCCUACGGGAGGCAGCAGUGGGGAAUAUUGGACAAUGGGCGCAAGCCUGAUCCAGCCAUACCGCGUGGGUGAAGAAGGCCUUCGGGUUGUAAAGUACUUGCAGCGGGGAGGCGUUACCCACAGAAGAAGCACCGGCUAACUCCGUGCCAGCCGCCGCGGUAAUAC
rnacentral:rRNA from 1 species